ACUCCUACGGGAGGCAGCAGUGGGGAAUAUUGCACAAUGGGCGCAAGCCUGAUGCAGCCAUGCCGCGUGUGUGAAGAAGGCCUUCGGGUUGUAAAGCACUUUCAGUUGUGAGGAAGGUGGUGUCGUUAAUAGCGGCAUCAUUUGACGUUAGCAACAGAAGAAGCACCGGCUAACUCCGUGCCAGCAGCCGCGGUAAUACGGAGGGUGCGAGCGUUAAUCGGAAUUACUGGGCGUAAAGCGCAUGCAGGUGGUUUGUUAAGUCAGAUGUGAAAGCCCGGGGCUCAACCUCGGAACUGCAUUUGAAACUGGCAGACUAGAGUACUGUAGAGGGGGGUAGAAUUUCAGGUGUAGCGGUGAAAUGCGUAGAGAUCUGAAGGAAUACCGGUGGCGAAGGCGGCCCCCUGGACAGAUACUGACACUCAGAUGCGAAAGCGUGGGGAGCAAACAGGAUUAGAUACCCUGGU
rnacentral:rRNA from 1 species